CUCCUGGGAAGUCCUCGUGUUGCACCCCUCUCUUUUUCUUCGCAUUUUUUUUUUCGUUGGGGUUAUCGUUUACGUCGGUCCAGCACGCUCGCUUUGUAGGCUUAGCGCGCCCCAGGCCAAAAACACGAGCCGCGGAUCUCGUUUUGGGUGCUAAAGCGCCGCGGCGACGUCGAAAUCCGCGGAAGCCCCUCGGGUUGCACCUCUCCGGCGUUAAGGUGCAUCGUUGCGUUCGGAUCCUUUUAUAAGAAUUAAACGCGCUUAUGCUGAUGGGUGCGAUCAUACCAACACUAAUGCACCGGA
rnacentral:rRNA from 1 species